UACGUAGGGGGCUAGCGUUGUCCGGAAUCAUUGGGCGUAAAGCGCGUGUAGGCGGCCCGGUAAGUCCGCUGUGAAAGUCGGGGGCUCAACCCUCGGAUGCCGGUGGAUACUGUCGGGCUAGAGUACGGAAGAGGCGAGUGGAAUUCCUGGUGUAGCGGUGAAAUGCGCAGAUAUCAGGAGGAACACCGAUGGCGAAGGCAGCUCGCUGGGACGGUACUGACGCUGAGGCGCGAAAGCGUGGGGAGCGAACAGG
rnacentral:rRNA from 1 species